CGCCAUUUGCAGCUUCAUGAGAGAAAAGUUGCACUGUUCACUAGUCCUUCAGAUGGACGUGUCUGCAGUGCGGAACAUAAACUGGCUGGGCUGUUCACGCUUGAAGGAUCAGUACUGUCUGGAGCGAUAUCUCUCCAUCAGAGCAGUGUACCUUCCGGGUCAGGACAAUCUUGUGGUGGAUUGACUGCCAAUUUCCACCGGAGAUUUUUCCCCUCUUGGAUAUUUGGCAAGGGCCUCUUGAUCUGGAAUUGUUCACUUCCAGGGCAAACUGUUGGAAGGACUUGUUCUUCAGUUGGCUUCCAUAUCC